GACGUAGGGCGCGAGCGUUGUCCGGAUUUAUUGGGCGUAAAGAGCUCGUAGGCGGUGUGUCGCGUCGGCCGUGAAAACCUGCAGCUUAACUGUGGGCUUGCGGUCGAUACGGGCAUCACUGGAGUUCGGCAGGGGAGACUGGAAUUCCUGGUGUAGCGGUGAAAUGCGCAGAUAUCAGGAGGGAAACACCCGGUGGGCGAAGGGCGGGGUCUCUGGG
rnacentral:rRNA from 1 species